UAAACCCCCAGUUGCUUCUAGUCAAAAAUUACACAUGCAAGCCUCCCCAUCCCCGUGCCCACAACCAAAUAACAUUAUAUAAACCAGGACAGGGGUAUCAGGCGCGCCAUCAUGCCAGCCCAUGACACCCAGCCCCGCCACACCUCCACAGGACCCAGCAGUGAUAAACCUUAGACCAUGGGCCAAGCCCGAUCUAGCUAUGACUACCACGGGCCGGUAAAUUUCGUGCCAGCCACCGCGGUUACACGAAAGGCCCAAAACAACCGCCACCGGCGUAAAGCGUGACCAAGAGCCCGGACCAAGACCGGGGGCAAAAAUUGCACACCACCGUCGUAAAACACCAAUGCGCGCAAGAAUCCAUUUAACGCCCCAACCCGCAUCUGGCCCACCCCACUCACGAAAGCCAGGGCACAAACUAGGAUUAGAUACCCUACUAUGCCCGGCAAUAAAUACUGCCCAUCCAAUACAAAUAACACGCCAGAGAACUACAGGCGAAAAGCCCAAAACUCCAAGGACUUGACGGUGUCUCACACAACCUAGAGGAGCCUGUCCUAUAAUCGAUACCCCACGCUUUACCCAACCCCCUCUUGUACCACUCAGCUUAUAUACCGCCGUCGUCAGUUCGCCCCCUGAGGGACGUCAAGCGAACAAAACACUCGCACCACUAAUACGUCAGGUCAAGGUGUAGCUAACGGGGGGGAAGAGAUGGGCUACAUUCUCAACACCCUGAGCACACGCACAGCAACAUGAAAUCUUUCGCCACAAGGUGGAUUUAGCAGUAAACCAAGCAAGCCAUGCUUGAUUGAACUAAGCCCUGAGACGCGCACACACCGCCCGUCACCCUCAUCGAACACCAAACACCACACCAAACCUACUUAGCCCAAACCACCAAACACAGAUGAGACAAGUCGUAACAUGGUAAGUGUACUGGAAAGUGCACUUGAAACC
rnacentral:ncRNA from 1 species